UGUUGCAGUUAAAAAGCUCGUAGUCGAAACUUGGGCCUGGCUGGCAGGUCCGCCUCACCGCGUGUACUUGUCCGGCCGGGCCUUUCCUUCUGGAGAACCUCAUGCCCUUCACUGGGUGUGUUGGGGAACCAGGACUUUUACUUUGAAAAAAUUAGAGUGUUCAAAGCAGGCCUUUGCUCGAAUACGUUAGCAUGGAAUAAUAGAAUAGGACGUGCGGUCCUAUUUUGUUGGUUUCUAGGACCGCCGUAAUGAUUAAUAGGGACAGUCGGGGGCAUCAGUAUUCAAUUGUCAGAGGUGAAAUUCUUGGAUUUAUUGAAGACUAACUACUGCGAAAGCAUUUGCCAAGGAUGUUUUCAUUAAUCAGUGAACGAAAGUUAGGGGAUCGAAGACGAUCAGAUACCGUCGUAGUCUUAACCGUAAACUAUGCCGACUAGGGAUCGGGCGAUGUUCUUUUUCUGACUCGCUCGGCACCUUACGAGAAAUCAAAG
rnacentral:rRNA from 1 species